AACAAUAACGGGGAAAUGAAAUUUUUGUCGUGAAAACACUUCAAUGCUCCGCAGUAACAAGCUCGGGCGUUGGUCGUAGUAGUAUAAGCCUGAAAUUAAACACGCAUCCCAAAAUCGUCUUUAGUAUCAGACAAAAAUAAAAAAUAAAAAUAUGUUCGUCGUUACAUUUCUAAAAUCAACGCGGGAUUAAAAUUUCACUCCCAAAACUCAAACCAGAAAGAAGCGGCGCAUAUGGAAGUUAAAUGAAACCCUAAACUUUCCGGUUUCAUAGAACAUCAGAUAAGAAGAAAUUGAAAAUUCUCCUCCAUUAUGAAAAAUUGAUUGGAUUCUACAGUUCUCAGUCAAACCCUCAAAUUUACAAUUUCGAUCAGCAUGCUCUCAUUUUUCAGAUGCAGACUCGCUUCUGAGUUGUACAUGUUGGUUUGUAGUUCUGCACUUCAGUUCAAGAUUGGUUUACGGGGUGCUUUAGCUUCAAGUGCAUCUUUGAAGUGUUUAAGACCAAAAUUGACUUGUUGACCUUGUUUAGCACGUUGGUUUUAGGAUCAUGAUUGUUAGGCCUAGCCAGGUGCAAUCCUUUUCUAGCUUUUGUUAUACCUUUUUACUAGCCUUCAAAGGUCUUAAUUACUGCUCUUUUCUGCAGGUCAGAACUUAUCGACCUGUCAUUUAUGAUAUGAACGUGUCAGGCUUGUGAGAGAUUAGUGGGUGCAUACGUCGAGUCAGCAAAAAAUACGGGGAGGACGAAGGAAAGAUCAACUUGCUAGAAUACACGGAAAGGUUGAUCGAGUUCAAGCUGGCCUUAAUUUUUAGCCAUGAAGAAGGUCAGCCAGAGCAUAUUCGGAGAUAUAUGUUGAUAUUACGUGGAAGGCAAGCUUUGAACGACCUUCUUAUGAGAAUAGAACGUGAAAGGCAAAGGGAGCUUCAAGUACUAUUAGAGCGUCGGGCUGUUUCAGAUUUUCCUCAUUGUAAUAGCAUUCAGCAUACAAUGCUGUUUCUCCUCUUGCUGUUGAGUUGUUUGCUUUGAGGGAAGGAAUGUCUAUUGUUAAGAAGUUUAACAUCCCCUAUCUGGAGGUUGAAAUGGAUGCCAAAUCUCUUAUGAUUAUGCUGAAUACUGCAGGUAGUAAUCCACAUCAUGAGCUUGCUGCUUCCAUCAAUGAUAUUGCGUAUUUGAUCAACAAAAAAUACUAGAUUGUGGUGGUGCUGCAUAUUCCAAGAGAGAGCAACUUGGUAGCUCAUUAGUUAGCUGCUCAUGCACUAGCUAUGGCAGUUGGACACAAGCAACACUUCACUGUUCCAGAUUGCGCAAGACUUUCUGAUACAUCUGAUAUGGAGCAUAUGGGUUCUAAUUCGAACUAAUCUUCUCUGCUUUAACAUAGAUUAUCUUUUGUGUAAUUGAUUUUUCUGUUCUAGGGGUCCAAGGGGGGUCCAAGGGUGGUCUUUUACUGUAUUAUAAUCCCCCUUGCUGGUUUAAUGCUCUACUCGCCCAUUGUGUAUUUUGCAACUGAAAUUUUGAUGGCUCCUACUACUGUAACAAACUCCUAAUUUUAUUCUAAUACAAGUCUCCUUUUGUGUGUUAAAAAAUAA